UCUAGGCUGUGCUCAUUUGCUGAGAGAGACAGCACUCAGAAGAGUGAGCUUCUCUUGCUGCAGCAGUCCCCAGCUGGCGCCUUUCCCCUCUAUCCCUGCAUCCUCGGAACAGCGGCAUCAUCCAGAGCCCAGCUCAGUGAAACGCCCAGCUCCUGAGGUAGCCUACUGGAGAUUGCUGCCAUUUUCCUGAAGAGGGAAUCCAAGUAGGCUCUUCUUCAGCCAUCUUCAAGCCAGGGACUGUGAGAAGACUUCGAGAAGAGUUUCAUUUUUGGCUUUUCUUCCAAUGAGAUCACCCCUCAACUUAGGAUUCAUGCCUGCCUUCUGGACUUCCGAAGACUUUGAGAAUGUUAAUAAGCUGAAUGCAACCAUCCAGGCUGAAACCACCCAUCUGGAGGCUCCCCUGUCCUCCACAGUGGCCCUGAUAAUAGUGCUGAUAAUUAUUUUCUCAUUGGUAAUGACCUCCUUUGUGACAUACUGUUUCCACAAGUGGAAGCUGAGAGGUCACAAGCUGCAGAGAGCUCAGGAAGAAUAUCAAAGAGAUCAGGAGAAAAAUAUAUUUCAUAGCCCUUCUGAUCUCAUUUCCUAAAAAUGCAGUAAACUUGCAAGUUAAGUGCAUCAUCUCAAACAAAGCAACGUUAAAGAAAGGACAGGGAAUGAAACAGCAUGAAAUAAGAAGUAAUUGGACAUAAAA